rnacentral:tRNA from 1 species
UACAUUGGCCGGGAAUCGAACCUGGGCCGCCCGCGUGGCAGGCGAGCAUUCUACCACUCAACCACCGAUAG